GAGAUGAGGCAGAUUCAAAACUAGUAAAGGUCAGAACCAAAAAGAAAAUUCCUUGUUAGCUACGAUGAAGAAAGCACACCGUUUUGGUAUUUCGCAUAUAUCAUAAUCUAAUGUAUAAGAUUUUGAUUAUUUUAAGUGAAAUUAGGGAAGUUACGAUUAAACUGUUAACGAAUUUUCGACAAAAUUAAAUAAGGAAAGAAA